AACAAAGUAAGACAUAUUGGUAAUAAGUUUCUCAAUGCUGUUGAAAUAACCAACAGCAUUGAGAAACUUAUUACCAAUAUGUCUUACUUUGUUUAUAAUAU
rnacentral:miRNA from 1 species